AUGGGCCGAUAUGCCGCGGUUAAGGUUCAUGAGGAUGCGUGGAAGACAGGGCGACAAUCCUGGAAUUCCACGGUGAUGAGCUGGUCACACAGUGCAAAAGAGCUGUGGAAGAACCCAAGGGUAACAAUGAUCCGGAUCGAGGUGCUUGUCUCUUUGGUUGCUGGUGUCAUGCUCUUCCUCGCCAUCUUCGGGUUCUGCCGUCGCCGAUGCAGACAUUGGUUUGUCCAGAAAGGUGUCCUAGGCGCGUAUACGCUGUCCUUCUCGCUGGCAACGUACGUGCUCGGUUCCAUGCAAUCUUCAGAGUUGAAGAGCAGCAUGUACCCUAUUUGGGCCAUAUCUCUCUUCAUGCUUCAUGCUUGCACCGACUCUAUCACUGCUUAUAGUCUCGAUGACUACAAGCAAGUAACAAGACUCAAUUACCAGGCUUUUAUGUACUUUAUGUACACGAUGUUGCUUUUGAUCACAGUGCAUACGGACUACAGCUUAGCACUUGGUUAUAUGGCUUUUAUUGCUUUUGUCAGAUAUUUGCAGAGACUGGGGGUAUGUGUGCUAGCAAGCCGCUCAUGGAACUUGAACAAAAUGGUUGCUGAUUAUUACAUGUAUAAUAAUGAUGAAAAGUAUAGCAAGAGUGUAUCUGAUCCAGCCACCAUGGAAGGUUGCAAUUACCUGGUUGAUUGGCCCGUUAGCAAAUUCAAGUGUGAUGCUUCGACGUCAUAUGCAACACAAUUAACAGUGGGGGGUCAUGAUGAAGAAGAAGAUGAAAUCAUUGACAUUGGGAAAAUAUGGCGGUGCAAGGACAAGUCACUAGGCCCAGAGCUGAAGGAUGCAUGCCUUUCCUUUUCUCUUUUCCAUGUGCUGAGACUGCGCUUCUUUGGAUUUGCGCGCGGCGAAUCCAAAGACAGGGCGGCACGUAAUUUUGUCUUGGAGGUGCUCCUACCAGACCCAGAGUACAAACUGGAUGGUGCUACAGACCACAACAGGGUGUUGAAGGUGAUCGAGGUUGAGUUAGCAUUUAUGUAUGACUUCUUCUUCACCAAGCAUGCUAUCAUUUAUUAUGGGUCGGUGGCAGCAACAAUCUGGUCCCUGAUUUCAGUCAUUGGUAUAUCUAUCACGGCGUACAUUACUGCGAGGGCUCCAUUGAAGAUUUCUCAGGGUGAUUCCGCAAUCACGAGCACUGUUACAGAUGAUGUUGUUAUAACAUUGGUGAUACUUGGAUCCACUGCUUUGCUUGAAUUCAUACAGCUGCUAUUUUACUGGACGGGAAUCUGGGGCAGAGUAUCAUUUGUUUGCCAAUCUAUCAGACAAGAAGCAAGAUUGAACCCGCAAAGGAAGAAAACAAGGACAAGGGGAAGCUGUCACACUCACAUCAUGGGAUUAAAGGGGUUUCUUGCCAACAUUGGUCUGUCACGUGCAUCAAACAGCCACUACUGGCAGCACAAGCUUGGGCAGUACUCAUUACUUGAUUCAAUCAGCUGCAAUCCGAGGCCAUCGGCGGUUACAUUUUCUCUCUUCACGCGCUUGUUGGUGCUGGUUUGGAGAUUUGUUUAUCUUUUCGAUUGGGUUUUUCAUCAUAGCCUAAAUGAUCAGGUAUCCAGGGCCCGAAAGAGAGCUUGGAAAUCUGUGGAGUUGCCUGAUGAAGUAAAGAAGGCGGUUAUCUGCUCACUUGAACAUAGUGGUGGUACACUAAGCAAUGGGAAAUCUUCCUUACGGUUCAAUGGAGCACAUGACCUCUUAUGGGCUUGCAAGUGGGAAUUGCACCCGGAUCCAAGCUGGUCCCAGAGGAAGCAGAAUCAGACUCACAUUAUUUUGACUUGGCACAUUGCAACAUGGUACUGUGAGAUGGCAACACUUUCUAAAAAUAGGGCAGCAAAACAGGACAUGUAUUUUAGCACUGCCACAAAACUGUCGAAAUAUUGUGCAUACUUGGUGGUCUCUGUGCCAAAGCUUCUUCCUGGGCAUCACUAUGAUACUAGAAGCAAAUUUGAUGCAGCUGUAGUAGAAGCAAUUACACUCCCGCCAGAGUCGACGAGCAUGUAUGAGGCCAUGAGGAAGUUAACGGUACAACAGGAGCCGAAGACGAUCUUUGAGAGCGGUGUGAAACUGGGGAAGCAACUGGAGGAAAUGGAAGAGGGCGCCCGUUGGAAGGUGAUGGCUGAUUUCUGGGCAGAGAUGCUGCUCUACCUCGCGCCAUCUGAUAAUGUCAACGAGCACAUCGAGCAGCUUGCGCAGGGUGGGGAGUUCAUCACCCACCUCUGGGCUUUGCUAUCUCAUGCAGGCAUCCUUGAGAGAGAUCACGAGCAUCAAGCUGGGGGCGUGUAA
rnacentral:rRNA from 1 species